rnacentral:tRNA from 1 species
AGGAAUAUAUUUCAAUGGUAGAAGGUUUGUUUUACACACAAAAAGUUAAAGGUUCGAUCCCUUUUAUUCCUA